rnacentral:rRNA from 1 species
AGAGUUUGAUCCUGGCUCAGGAUGAACGCUGGCGGCGUGCUUAACACAUGCAAGUCGAACGAUGAAGCCUCCUGCUUGCAGGGGGUGGAUUAGUGGCGAACGGGUGAGUAUCACGUGAGUAACCUGCCUUGACUCUGGGAUAAGCCUGGGAAACUGGGUCUAAUACCGGAUAUGACCAGUCACCGCAUGGUGUGCUGGUGGAAAGCUUUAGCGGUUUUGGAUGGACUCGCGGCCUAUCAGCUUGACGGUGGGGUAAUGGCCUACCGUGGCGAUGACGGGUAGCCGGCCUGAGAGGGUGACCGGCCACACUGGGACUGAGACACGGCCCAGACUCCUACGGGAGGCAGCAGUGGGGAAUAUUGCACAAUGGGCGAAAGCCUGAUGCAGCGACGCCGCGUGUGGGAUGACGGCCUUCGGGUUGUAAACCACUUUCAGCAGGGAAGAAGCUUUUUGUGACGGUACCUGCAGAAGAAGCGCCGGCUAACUACGUGCCAGCAGCCGCGGUAAUACGUAGGGCGCGAGCGUUAUCCGGAAUUAUUGGGCGUAAAGAGCUCGUAGGCGGUUUGUCGCGUCUGCUGUGAAAGCCCGGGGCUUAACCGGGUGUGCAGUGGGUACGGGCAGACUAGAGUGCAGUAGGGGAGACUGGAAUUCCUGGUGUAGCGGUGAAAUGCGCAGAUAUCAGGAGGAACACCGAUGGCGAAGGCAGGUCUCUGGGCUGUUACUGACGCUGAGGAGCGAAAGCAUGGGGAGCGAACAGGAUUAGAUACCCUGGUAGUCCAUGCCGUAAACGUUGGGCACUAGGUGUGGGGGACAUUCCACGUUUUCCGCGCCGUAGCUAACGCAUUAAGUGCCCGCCUGGGGAGUACGGCCGCAAGGCUAAAACUCAAAGGAAUUGACGGGGGCCCGCACAAGCGGCGGAGCAUGCGGAUUAAUUCGAUGCAACGCGAAGAACCUUACCAAGGCUUGACAUACACCGGACCGCCCUAGAGAUAGGGUUUCCCUUCGGGGCUGGUGUACAGGUGGUGCAUGGUUGUCGUCAGCUCGUGUCGUGAGAUGUUGGGUUAAGUCCCGCAACGAGCGCAACCCUUGUCCUAUGUUGCCAGCACGUAAUGGUGGGGACUCAUGGGAGACUGCCGGGGUCAACUCGGAGGAAGGUGGGGAUGACGUCAAAUCAUCAUGCCCCUUAUGUCUUGGGCUUCACGCAUGCUACAAUGGCCGGUACAGUGGGUUGCGAUACUGUGAGGUGGAGCUAAUCCCUAAAAGCCGGUCUCAGUUCGGAUCGAAGUCUGCAACUCGACUUCGUGAAGUUGGAGUCGCUAGUAAUCGCAGAUCAGCAAUGCUGCGGUGAAUACGUUCCCGGGCCUUGUACACACCGCCCGUCAAGUCACGAAAGUUGGUAACACCCGAAGCCGGUGGCCCAACCCUUGUGGGGGGAGCCGUCGAAGGUGGGACUAGCGAUUGGGACUAAGUCGUAACAAGGUAGCCGUACCGGAAGGUGCGGCUG